rnacentral:rRNA from 1 species
AUUGAACGCUGGCGGCAGGCCUAACACAUGCAAGUCGAACGGUAACAGAAAGCAGCUUGCUGCUUUGCUGACGAGUGGCGGACGGGUGAGUAAUGUCUGGGAAACUGCCUGAUGGAGGGGGAGAACUACUGGAAACGGUAGCUAAUACCGCAUAACGUCGCAAGACCAAAGAGGGGGACCUUCGGGCCUCUUGCCAUCGGAUGUGCCCAGAUGGGAUUAGCGAGUAGGUGGGGUAACGGCUGACCUAGGCGACGAUCCCUAGCUGGUCUGAGAGGAUGACCCGACACCCUGUCACUGAGACACGGCCCCCACUCCUGCGGGAGGCCGCAGCGGGGACUAUUGCGCGAUGGGCGCAAGCCUGAUGCUGCCCUGUCGCGUGUAUGAAGAAGGACUUCUGGUUGUAAAGUACUUUCAGCGGGGAGGAAGGGAGUCAAGUUAAUCCCUUUGCUCAUUGACGUUACCCGCAGAAGAAGCACCGGCUAACUCCGUG